GGCCGCCUGGCGAAAUGGCAUCGCGUCUGACUACGAUAAUAGAACGAUAAAGAUCGUUAUCAGGAGAUUGCAGGUUCGACCCCUGCGGUGGUCA